rnacentral:rRNA from 1 species
AGGGCACCACCAGGAGUGGAGCCUGCGGCUUAAUUUGACUCAACACGGGAAAACUUACCCGGCCCGGACACUGGAAGGAUUGACAGAUUGAGAGCUCUUUCUUGAUUCAGUGGGUGGUGGUGCAUGGCCGUUCUUAGUUGGUGGAGCGAUUUGUCUGGUUAAUUCCGAUAACGAACGAGACUCUAGCCUACUAAAUAGACUGUUCAGCUUUAUAGCCGGAAUCACUGGGCGUGUAGCUCUCCGCAAGGGGGGUUGCAUGUUCGGCUCUGGUGACGUUGGCAGUGCUUCUUAGAGGGACAGGCGGCGGUUCAGCCGCACGAAACAGAGCAAUAACAGGUCUGUGAUGCCCUUAGAUGUCCGGGGCUGCACGCGCGCUACACUGAAGUGAUCAGCGUGCAAUUUACGUUUGGUGAUCUGUCAAGAUUGCCCAACCCGUUGAACCUUCUUCGUGAUUGGGAUAGGGGAUUGUAAUUAUUCCCCUUGAACGAGGAAUUCCCAGUAAGCACAAGUCAUAAGCUU